rnacentral:rRNA from 1 species
AUUGAACGCUGGCGGCAGGCCUAACACAUGCAAGUCGAGCGAGAGGCGCACGGGUGAGUAAUGUAUGGGGACUGCCCGCUAGAGGGGGAUAACUACUGGGAACGGUGGCUCAUACACCCUACUGUCGCAUAACCCAUAUGGGGUUAGCUAGUAGGUAAGGUAAUGGCUUACGUAGGCGACGAUCCCCCGCUGGUCUGAGAGGAUGAUCAGCCACACUGGGACUGAGACACGGCCCAGACUCCUACGGAGGCAGCAGUGGGGAAUAUUGCACAAUGGGCGCAAGCCUGAUGCAGCCAUGCCGCGUGUAUGAAGAAGGCCCUAGGGUUGUAAAGUACUUUCAGUCGGGAGGCGUUACCGACAGAAGAAGCACCGGCUAACUCCGUGCCAACAGCCGCGGUAAUUC